AAAAGAACGGGGAUGGGCCUCUAGGGCGCAGGAAGCAGCCAACUGGCGGGGCCUGGAAGUCCCAGCCCCAAUGCCAAUCUGCAUUGAGAGGGAGGUGCAAAAUCUUCACCAUGUACCCGGGUCCAACGCGAGCAAUAGAAUGAGAAGAAGGAAAACACUUCUUUCCAAAAGCGGCAAUGCAUUCUUCAUGGCCGUUCAUGGCUUCAUCUCCUUCGAAUAUGAAUCCCCACGAGCGAAGAAGAAUCGCGACUUCCAAUCAUCCAUUAACGGCUCGAGCUCAACAUCAACCAUCCAAUUCAGUUGGCUCGCGCUCACAUAAACAAUGAAGAACAAAAUCGAAGUUGAGAAAACUCACCAGAUUUGGAGUUCCCAUUGCAACCAGGUUUGAAGCGCUUCUUCUCCCGCUGAUUUCAAUCCCUUCUUCUUCUUGGGUGUUCUGCUAUUGCGGUGGCGUUGUCGUUCAUUGCUGAUAACCAAGUUGUGUGGUUGUUAUGCGAGGAUAGCAGAGCUCGGUUUGGAAGCUCGAAAUGGAGGUGAUGAAUGUCUCAGAAUCCUGUGGAAGAUGAAGAUUGAAGGGGAUGCCGAAGCCUGAAAGAGAGUGAGAGUUCGAGCCUCUUGCGAAAUGUGCGUUGCGUUUCUCUUUUCUAUUCUGAGAUUUUGUGAUACUGGUGGAGAGAGAUGAAUGAAUGAUGAUUGAGGAAUUUAUAGAGCCGAGAAUGGCUAACUGAAUCGGGUAAUUGUGCAGCUAUUAGGGCAAUAUUUAACUCUUUUAAAUUUCAUAAGGUAAGUUUGUUAGUAGUUAAAAUCUGUUAGAAAUCUCAGUUAUGAUUUUGGUUAGUCAACUGAAUGUUAGUUAGUCAUUGGAAAACUUCUAUUAGAUUUGUUAGUUUAUGAACUCUGUUAUGAUUUUUGUGUGAGCUGGAAAUACGUAGUUUGUGAUAUGUAAUUGAAUGGAAUCAUUUGAAUAUUAUUUGAGUUAAUUUCAAUGAAUUGGUGGUUAUUAGAUGCAGGAUAUGAUUGAGCUACUAUGAGCUGAUAGUGCAGGUUAGUUGGAUGAUGUUUGUCAGUGGAUUUUCUGUUAUGAAUGUAUGCUGGUUAGAAUUAUGAUUUUUCCACUUAUAAUUAAGUUGUGAACUAUUUCCGCAUUACUCGGCAGUUUUUUUUUUGUAUUAAGUUCAGUUAGAAAUAUGGAAUUAGCUCACUGCGUAAUUAAUUAAUUAGUGAUGGAGUGCCUUUGGAACUAUUUCGUGUUCUUGGAACUAUUUUGUGUUCUUGGAAUUAUGCAGAUGAAAAUUAAGUCGUGAUUCUACUUCUCCUUAUGCAGGGUUGAACUGAUUUUUUUUCUGUGGAAUUGAUUGUCGAUGUCGUGGCUGCUAGGAACUGAUGUAUGCUUGGAACUAGAUUGUAUUGGCUAGCCUGCAAUCUAUUGUGUUCACUUGUUGCAGUACCAUGGUUAUGAAGGAUGGGUCAUGUGAUUGGAUGACCAAGUGGCGAUGUAUAACACACUGGGAGAUCAAUGACGGGCUUCCCAAAUUCCAAGCUUCUUCCCUCUCGAUUCGAGCUAUCUAAUAGCAUGGGAUGGUGCCAACAUGAUGUAAUAAAAUUAGGACAUGGAUUAGCUUGUUGUUUUAUGUUGUAAUGGGAAAAAAACUCACUUAUAAUAAUUUAUGUCAAACAAUGUUUAUGUAAUGUAACUUAACUUGUGAUUCAAAAUUCAAGCAAAAUUCCACUUCUAAAUUCCA